UACGUAGGGGGCAAGCGUUGUCCGGAAUUAUUGGGCGUAAAGAGCGUGUAGGCGGUCCGGUAAGUCAGCUGUGAAAGUCAAGGGCUCAACCCUUGAAUGCCGGUUGAUACUGUCGGGCUAGAGUCCGGAAGAGGCGUGUGGAAUUCCCGGUGUAGCGGUGAAAUGCGCAGAUAUCGGGAGGAACACCAAUGGCGAAGGCAGCUCGCUGGGACGGUACUGACGCUGAGACGCGAAAGCGUGGGGAGCGAACAGG
rnacentral:rRNA from 1 species